rnacentral:rRNA from 1 species
UACGUAGGGUGCGAGCGUUGUCCGGAAUUAUUGGGCGUAAAGAGCUCGUAGGCGGCUUGUCGCGUCGGAUGUGAAAGCCCGGGGCUUAACUCCGGGUCUGCAUUCGAUACGGGCAGGCUAGAGUUCGGUAGGGGAGAUCGGAAUUCCAGGUGUAGCGGUGAAAUGCGUAGAUAUCUGGAGGAACACCGGUGGCGAAGGCGGCAUCCUGGACCAAUAUUGACGCUGAGGAGCGAAAGCCAGGGGAGCAAACGGG